GGGGAAUUUUGGACAAUGGGCGCAAGCCUGAUCCAGCCAUUCCGCGUGCAGGAUGAAGGCCCUCGGGUUGUAAACUGCUUUUGUACGGAACGAAACGCGCUGAGUUAAUACCUCGGCGUAAUGACGGUACCGUAAGAAUAAGCACCGGCUAACUUCGUGCCAGCAGCCGCGGUAAGACGAAGGGGGCUAGCGUUGUUCGGAAUUACUGGGCGUAAAGCGAGUGUAGGUGGUUUUCCAAGUUGGAUGUGAAAGCCUUGAGCUCAACUCAAGAAAUGCAUUCAGGACUGGGAGACUAGAGGACCGGAGAGGAUAGUGGAAUUCCCAGUGUAGUGGUGAAAUACGUAGAGAUUGGGAAGAACACCAGUGGCGAAGGCGGCUAUCUGGACGGUUUCUGACACUAAGACUCGAAAGCGUGGGGAGCAAAC
rnacentral:rRNA from 1 species